rnacentral:rRNA from 1 species
UGGGGAAUUUUGCACAAUGGGGGAAACCCUGAUGCAGCGACGCCGCGUGAUUUAGAAGGCCUUCGGGUUGUAAAAAUCUUUUCUAUGGGAAGAAAAUGACAGUACCAUAGGAAUAAGGACCGGCUAAUUACGUGCCAGCAGCCGCGGUAAUACGUAAGGUCCGAGCGUUGUCCGGAAUCAUUGGGCGUAAAGGGUACGUAGGCGGGUAAGCAAGUUAGAAGUGAAAUCCUAUAGCUCAACUAUAGUAAGCUUUUAAAACUGCUCAUCUUGAGGUAUGGAAGGGAAAGUGGAAUUCCUAGUGUAGCGGUGAAAUGCGCAGAUAUUAGGAGGAAUACCGGUGGCGAAGGCGACUUUCUGGCCAUAACCUGAUGCUGAGGUACGAAAGCGUGGGUAGCAAACAGG